UCGCACCUACCGAUUGGACGAUCCGGCAAGAUGUUUGGAGCUGCGUUUGAUGGGCUUUCGGGUCUGACUUAUGCGGCGAAGCUCCUCAAACCUUAUCGUCUAGAGGAAGGUG
rnacentral:rRNA from 1 species